rnacentral:piRNA from 1 species
UAUCUUUGCGACAAGGACACGGCGCUGC